GACGAACGCUGGCGGCGUGCUUAACACAUGCAAGUCGAACGGAAAGGCCCUGCUUUUGUGGGGUGCUCGAGUCGCGAACGGGUGAGUAACACGUGAGUAACCUGCCCUUGAUUUUGGGAUAACUUCAGGAAACUGGGGCUAAUACCGGAUAGGAGCUCCUGCUGCAUGGUGGGGGUUGGAAAGUUUCGGCGGUUGGGGAUGGACUCGCGGCUUAUCAGCUUGUUGGUGGGGUAGUGGCUUACCAAGGCUUUGACGGGUAGCCGGCCUGAGAGGGUGACCGGCCACAUGGGGACUGAGAUACGGCCCAGACUCCUACGGGAGGCAGCAGUGGGGAAUAUUGCACAAUGGGCGGAAGCCUGAUGCAGCAACGCCGCGUGCGGGAUGACGGCCUUCGGGUUGUAAACCGCUUUCGCCUGUGACGAAGCGUGAGUGACGGUAAUGGGUAAAGAAGCACCGGCUAACUACGUG
rnacentral:rRNA from 1 species